GUCCACGCUGUAAACGAUGAGAACUAGUUGUGGCGGGAAUUAACCCCUGCCGUGACGUAGCUAACGCGUUAAGUUCUCCGCCUGGGGAGUACGGUCGCAAGACUAAAACUCAAAGGAAUUGACGGGGCCCGCACAAGCGGUGGAUCAUGUGGUUUAAUUCGAAGCAACGCGCAGAACCUUACCUGGGUUUGAAAUCCUACGAAUUUGUCAGAGAUGAUGAAGUGCCCUUCGGGGAAUGUAGAGACAGGCGCUGCAUGGCUGUCGU
rnacentral:rRNA from 1 species